rnacentral:rRNA from 1 species
CCAGUACUACUGGGCGUAAAGGGUGCGUAGGCGGAUUUGUAAGUCUGCAGUGAAAGUCCAUCUCUCCAAGGGGAGGAAGUGCUUUGGUAACUAUAGAGCUUGAGUGCACGAGAGGUCAUCGGGAUUCCCCGGUGUAGCGCUGAAAUGCGUAGAUAUCGGGAGGAACAUCGGUGGCGAAGGCGGGUAACUGGACUGCAACUGACGCUGAGGCGCGAAAGUGUGGGGAGCAUACAGGAUUAGAUACCCCUGGUAGUCCACACGCUCAACGAUGAAUGCUAGGUGUAGGAGGUAUCGACCCCUUCUGUGCCGCAGUUAACACAAUACGCAUUCCGCCUGGGGAGUACGGUCGCAAGAUUAAUACUCAAAGGAAUUGACGGGGGCCCGCACAAGCAGCAGAGCAUGUGGUUUAAUUAGACGCAACGCGCAGCACCUUACCAGGUCUUGACAUGCAGUUAAAGCUGUUGAAAGAUAGUGUCCCUUCGGGGGAACUGAGACAGGUGGUGCAUGGUUGUCGUCAGCUCGUGUCGUGAGAUGUUGGGUUAAGUCCCGCAACGAGCGCAACCCUUAUUGAUAGUUACUAACGCGUAGAGGCGAGGACUCUAUUGAGACUGCCGGGGACAACUCGGAGGAAGGUGGGGACGACGUCAAAUCAUCAUGCCCCUUAUGACCUGGGCUACACACGUGCUACAAUGGCCGACACAGAGAGAAGCGAAAGCUCGAGCCGGAGCGGAUCUCACAAAAGCGGUUGAAGUUCGGAUUGUGGGCUGCAACCCGCCCCCAUGAAGUCGGAGUUGCUAGUAAUCGCGGAUCAGC